rnacentral:tRNA from 1 species
GCCACUGUAGCUCAGAUGGUAGAGCAGGCGAUUCGUAAUCGUCAGGUCGGGGGUUCAAGUCCCUCCAGUGGCU